GUGAAGAACGUAGCGAAAUGCGAUAAGUAAUGUGAAUUGCAGAAUUCAGUGAAUCAUCGAAUCUUUGAACGCACAUUGCGCCCGCCAGUAUUCUGGCGGGCAUGCCUGUUCGAGCGUCAUUUCAACCCUCAAGACCCCUUCGGGGGACUUGGUGUUGGGGACCGGCACAGGGGCCUGCCUGCUUGUCUUGCAGCGCCCUCGCCGCCCCCGAAAUGAAUUGGCGGCCUCGCCGCGGCCUCCCCUGCGUAGUAGCACAACCUCGCAACGGGAACGUGACGGCGGCCACUGCCGUAAAACAACCCCAAUUUUAUUAGAGUUGACCUCGAAUCAGGUAGGAAUACCCGCUGAACUUAAGCAUAUCAAUAAGCGGAGGA
rnacentral:misc_RNA from 1 species